rnacentral:rRNA from 1 species
UUUGUUUUAUAAUAGAGAACUAGAAUGAAAGAGUGUACGACGCUUAAGCUAUUUAAAUUUUUAGAGAAAUUGAUAUUUAUUUCAAAAAGAGUAAAUCUCUAGAAAGACGAUAAGACCCUAUAAAACUACUAUCUUUUGAGUUCUGUGGGGCUUAGAAUAAGAUAUAGAAACUCUGAGGAUUGAGCUGGGGCGGCAACGAAUAGACAAUUGGAAAUAUAACACACAUGCGUGAAGAAGUAGAUCUUUUAAAGAUUUAGAAAAAGUUACUUUAGGGAUAACAGCGUAAUUUUCUAUAACUUUUAAUUUAUAAAAAGACUUACGACCUCGAUGUUGAAUUGAGGCGCCUGCCUCUUAAGAGAGGUUAGGGGGUCUGUUCGACCUUUAAUCCCUC